UAAAAUUCAGAAUUGUGUCUAGUGCAGCACAUGAAUCUGCAGUGGGAUAAAAUUGAUACAGUUGAAUAAAUUACAAGAACUGAACUUUUGUGUGAGAUUUUUGAAACCUAGAUGCACCCUAGAAGAAGUUUGUGCUACCACUUUCUCUACAGUCUGAUAAAAUUCUAGCAACUGAACAUCAUUUUUAGCUACUAGAUGAAAUUUUCUACCUAAAUCCAUACAAUGGAAUUUAAUAUUUAGUUAUUAGAUGAAAUUUGGUAUCUAAAGCCCUACCCUACAUUAUUGACUGUACAACUGCCAGCUAUUUUACUUAUCUAGUUGCUAAACUUCAGAUUCAAUCUCUUUCAUUCAUUAUAGAAAUAUUAAAGACUUUUAGGCUGCAAGGCGCAACUAGUAAAAACCACUAUUGGCCUAAUGGUACAAGAAAAUUAUUAGAGAGUUGAAUAGUUAGAAUUUCUAAAAUUUUAUAUUUUGUAUAAAUGUCUUGAGACUUUCUGCCUGAUGGUGUUCAACUUGCAAUGCUAUUCGGUGCAUGUCUAGCUUUAAUUUCCUGAGGUGUGUUUGGCACUUAAAUAUAGUUUCAAAUACUCUCUUUUCUUAAUUGUUGAUCUAUAAAAAGAUUGCUCUUUCCUAUUCUUAGUUUCUUGCAAGGAAAACACUAUCAUUUGUCUUGGUUAAGUUAAAUCAUUUCCUGCUAAAAUCUGUUCUUAUAACAGAGUGGUUGGAGACUACAAGUUGGUGGGCUCUAGAAGCUGUUGUGGGAAGACCACAUAUGUUACAUUAACCGUGAAGGCUAACAUGGGGCACGUAGACAUGGUGUCCGCUAAAGGUGAGCUAGGAUUUUUGCCUUGAUCCCAUGAUCUUUGGGUGAUGGCAGCAGGUGGCUCGGCAUCGACGACAGAGGGGAUAUGGCCAAGGAGCUUGGUGCCCUCGCACUACUCCUCGCCCACGUCGUGCCCUUCUACCUCGAUUAUAUUGGGGGCACACGCUGCCCUUGGGGCUACAGAUCACAAGCGUGGGAGUAUACAUGCAUUAAUGUGUUUUCAUGAUGAGCAACAAGUGGAUCUUGAGGCUGCAGUGGAGGCAACCGCCUAGUUCUUUAACAAGUAAAUCGGGAACAAAUGAGGGAAAUUGAGAACCCUAUUGGUCAGACAAGUAAGAUUGAAGCAAGUUAGGUGAACCAUGUUAGAUGAACCUUGUGUAUUUUAUCUAAUGGUUUGAAACAUG